UUCAGCCCUGCCCUCAGCCUCCUCCUCGCAUCGCGUGUACCACGACUUCCCCUGCACACAUCACUGAACACCGAAACCAGAGCAGACUUCUUUCUGCACACGCCUUCCAGUUGAGAAACUCACUACCGGCGUGGAUUCCUUUAAAUCCCACGCCUUCUCCAAUCUGCCACCCCACCCCCCACACAAACGAGGGAUCAGGAGCUCCUGGAGCUGUGCCAGCAAGUAGCCACGUCCCUGUCUUCAGCUCUCCGGAGGUCUCUGCACUUCGGCUACCCACCAUCCUCUCUGCUUCUCUCACACCAAACUCAGCAACAGCUGCCUCGUGAUGGCUGAGGGGCUGCCACUGACGGUGGUCAUUGUCUCUUCUGGAAGUUACCAUCAAGACUCACUCCGAUCACGAUGAAGAUCACAGUGUACAUGACAGCACUUUCUCCUCGCUGCAAGAAGACUUUGAUGUGACAAGUCCCAGCCGAGGUGGACCAGCCUGUGGGGACUCAGGAUCCUCUCCUUAGGUUUCUGAGCCACCACAGAGGAUGUCCCUGUGGGUGAGAGGUUUGUGAGCACCUUGCUGCCCAAACAGGAAUCAGGUACAAGUGCUGUAGCAUCCCCGGGCCCCAUCCCUGUCCUUCAAAGCAGCACCCGCACUUCAAGGAUCCUUGAUGGAUAGCAAGCACAUAAGCCUUCAGAAGCUCAACUGCAGUAGGCACAUGUAAGGCAGAGCCCACCAACCUGAUCCGACCGAAUCCAGCAGCCGCAGUAGGCACAUGAUAUUAACCGUGUGAAAACUUCCACUGAGUGUAUAAACACUUUCCUUAUGAUCUCCUGAUGCUGGGCACUAGGCUAGUUCCACUUUAGCCACCACAGUGACUAGUGCUGCAGUGAAUACUGGUGUGCAGUGUCUCUGCAAUCUGAUGACCUGGAGUCCUUCGGAACCCUCCAGAACUCCUGUGGAUGCUGAUCCUGUUGACAAGAAAACUCUAUCGACCUUGCUCAUUCCGCCUGAAGUUGGCAUCACUGUCCACUGGCACCUACAUUGCUCAUUCCGUCUGCGGUCCGCAUCACUGUCCACUGGCACUUUCUUUGAGGACAGAGAUGCUCUUUGUGUGUUUCAGUAGGGAGUCUCCCUCCCUCCCGUAUGUAGCUGUGAGCACAGGAGCUAUGACUAGUGUGACACAGAAACUGGAUUUUAAUUUGAUUUCUUUCUAAUUGAUUUAAACUUAAAUAGCUUCAUAUGGUCAGUGGCUCCAGUGUGUUGGACAACACAGUUCCAGAGUACCCAUCCUUCCUCCUGCUGACGCUCAUCCACAUUCCCAGGUUGAGCCUUUGCCCAUCCCACCCUGCUUUUGUAUGUAUUAAUCCCUGCAGAAUUCACCAAGAUGAAAAACAUCUGCUUCGCCACCUAAUUUACAUAAUAAGUAACAUUAUGCUUAUUAUUUUGAAUGAGAAGAGUGUAACUUGAAUUAAAUGCCACCAAAAAGUUGUCAAAACCUCUUUCAUAGUAUUCAUAAUUGCGUGGCUUUGAUUUUGCAGCCUUUCAAACGUCAGCAGACAUGGGGCACAUUAACUGCUUUAAGGACAAAAGACUGCAGAUGGAUUCAGGGUAGAGGAGACAUCAAGACGCCAGUAAGCCGUGGCAUCUCAGUGCACAACGGGAAAAGCUAUGUGUGUUGAAAGUAAACACCAGGCCAUAAGUAUUACCCUCAACAUGGAGGAUGAAACAAGAAAUGAGAGAGGUUGCCAAGCCAGAGAACAUGGAAUAAAAGCUCAAACAGAACUGUACUCAGCCAUGAGCCUGACCCUAAGUAUCUAAUCUGUGGAACUGAUGGAAUAGGAACUAUGAGAUGGGCUAAGAGGAAAGAGAAGGCAAGCAAGGAGACACAGACAGAAAAGACUAAACCACCCCUGUUUAAGAAUAAGAAGAGUAUCAGAGGCACGCACGCACGCAUGCACGCACGCACACACGUCCCGCUAGGACGAGACACACUUCUUCUAAACCAGAGCAUCACCGCCCAUGUUAGGAAGGGAUGCAAACACUAGGGAAAUCUCACUCCAGUCUGUGCAUCCCCAGAUGAGAUUUGCUACCGGGAGGUUCACAGUGAUUCCUACAAAGAAUCCUGUAGCUAAGGGCAACAGCUUACCUCUGGUAAGGCAGUCACUUCAUAGCAACUGAAGCCAAUAAAUAGGCCAUGGUGUUGUCCUCAGGAAAGAAAAUUCCAGGGGCUCCAGACAGGAUAACCUGAUGACAGGCUGGGAGCUCAGAGACCACUGAAAACACCCGGACUUGCACACAGGCAUCUAUCACACCUGGACCCUCUCUGUUCUCCGGUACCGUAGGCUUCUUCAUGACUCAAUCCAGACAGAAGGAAGAGAAGAGAAAAGCAGAUGUGAAGGGCCCUCGAGAUGGCUCAGGUGCUAAAGGCUCCUGCCACCAAACCUGGCAACCUGAAUUCCACCCCUGGGCUCCACAUGGUGAGAGGAGAGAACCGACUCCUGCAAGGUGUCCUCAGAUCAUCACAGAUGAACCCACAAAAAUGAAUUAAUUAAAUGAGUGGGGCAAGACUUAAGUCUGAGGAGAUGGCUCAGCUGCCAAAGUGAACACUCUUCAUCGUACUGUAUGUGAGAGCCAGAUCCACACCGUUGUACUCCCUCUGACCUCCGGAGGCAUACUGUGGUUCUUUGUGGCUCAGGAGACAUAGAGAAAAUGCAGAUGGUAAAGUUCACCUUUAAAAACAGCAGCAGCAGGGAUGGGAGAUGGCUCAGUCAAUGAAGGAUUUGCCUGGCAAGAAUGAGAGCAUGAAGCUGACCCCAGAACCCUGCAGAGCAUGAUGCCGACCCCAGAACCCUGCUGCAGAGCAUGAUGCCAACCCCAGAACCCUGCAGAGCAUGAUGCCGACCCCAGAACCCUGCUGCAGAGCAUGAUGCCGACCCCAGAACCCUGCAGAGCAUGAUGCCGACCCCAGAACCCUGCAGAGCAUGAUGCUGACCCCAGAACCCUGCAGAGCAUGAAGCUGACCCCAGAACCCUGCAGAGCAUGAUGCCAACCCCAGAACCCUACUGCAGAGCAGCCUGAGCUGGUGGCUCUUACACUUCCUAAAGCCAAUGCUGGGAACAGAGACUUGGGGGUCCCUGGAGCUUACCUGCCAGGCAGCCUACUUUACUUAGAAAGCUCCAAGACAGUGAAAGCCCUUAGCUUAGGUCCUACUGCUAUGGUAAAACACCAUGACCAAAACCAUCUUGAGGAGGGAAGGGGUCAUUUCACCUCAGAACUCUCUGGUCACACUCCAUCGCUGAGGGAAGUCGAGGCAGGAGCUCCAGCUGGGAAGGAGUUGACACAGAAGCUUUGGAGGAGUGCUGCUUACUGGCUUAUGCCUCACGGCUUGCUCAGCCUACUUUCUUAUAGCUUCCAGGACUACCAGCCCAGGGAUGGCAUCACCCAGAGAGAACCGGGCCUUCCCA